GGCUCAGGAUGAACGCUAGCUACAGGCUUAACACAUGCAAGUCGAGGGGAAACGACAUCGAAAGCUUGCUUUUGAUGGGCGUCGACCGGCGCACGGGUGAGUAACGCGUAUCCAACCUGCCCACCACUUGGGGAUAACCUUGCGAAAGUAAGACUAAUACCCGAUGAUAUCUCUAUAAGACAUCUGAAAGGGAUUAAAGAUUUAUCGGUGAUGGAUGGGGAUGCGUCUGAUUAGCUUGUUGGCGGGGUAACGGCCCACCAAGGCAACGAUCAGUAGGGGUUCUGAGAGGAAGGUCCCCCACAUUGGAACUGAGACACGGUCCAAACUCCUACGGGAGGCAGCAGUGAGGAAUAUUGGUCAAUGGACGGGAGUCUGAACCAGUCAAGUAGCGUGCAGGAUGACGGCCCUAUGGGUUGUAAACUGCUUUUGUGCGGGGAUAAAGUGUGGGACGUGUCCCAUAUUGCAGGUACCGCAUGAAUAAGGACCGGCUAAUUCCGUG
rnacentral:rRNA from 1 species